ACGGACGUGGCGGAAUUGGUAGACGUGCUAGAUUUAGGUUCUAGUGAGGUUAUCUUGUGAGAGUUCGAGUCUCUCCGUCCGUA
rnacentral:tRNA from 1 species